GUGGGGAAUCUUGCACAAUGGGCGAAAGCCUGAUGCAGCGACGCCGCGUGCGGGACGAAGGCCUUCGGGUUGUAAACCGCUUUCAGCAGGGACGAGGCCGCAAGGUGACGGUACCUGCAGAAGAAGCCCCGGCUAACUACGUGCCAGCAGCCGCGGUAAUACGUAGGGGGCGAGCGUUAUCCGGAUUCAUUGGGCGUAAAGCGCGCGUAGGCGGCCUGCUAGGUCGGAACUCAAAUCCGGGGGCUCAACCCCCGCCCGGUUCCGAUACCGGCAGGCUUGAGUCUGGUAGGGGAAGGCGGAAUUCCAAGUGUAGCGGUGGAAUGCGCAGAUAUUUGGAAGAACACCGGUGGCGAAGGCGGCCUUCUGGGCCACGACUGACGCUGAGGCGCGAAAGCUAGGGGAGCGAACAGGAUUAGAUACCCGAGUAGUCC
rnacentral:rRNA from 1 species